rnacentral:lncRNA from 1 species
UUUAUACGCAAUUGAAUUUAAAUCGCUCAUUCCUUUCUUUUUAUUUUCCCUAUCUCCAGCCCCUUUUCAGAACCGUCCUCCUAUGAAACCCUAAAUUCUACGAGACAACAUCCAUCAUUCUCUAUUCAUCUUGCUCGAAAGGGGCUAUGCUAUUUAUGUCAUAUUUUACAGAAUCAUAGGUGAUGGCAACCUCCACCUCCGUUCUCUUCUCUCGCCUCUUUAGGAGAUCCCUUCCAAACCUCUGUGAACAAAUUCAAAUCGAACUGAAAUCGAAUAUGCAGUCAAUGACUUCUUCACCUUCAAGACAUUCGAAGUUCGUAGUCUUGUGACCUUGCCAGAAGGAGAAUCCAUAGUUCAAGUCAAUGUAAUCGGUGCGAGGUUUUUUAUUGAGACUUUUAGGAAUCUUCAAUUAAUUUUUCUUCUUUUAAUUUGAAAUUAUGGGUUGUUCAUAUUAAAAAAUGGGUUUGUGAUUCAUUCACUUUGGAUAUGAAUGAAUUCUGGAUAGUUGAUAUAUCCUAUUUCAUAUAUGUGUGCCACAAUCCGAUAGAUGAGAUAUUGCUGAUAGAUGAUAAAGAAUCCAUUAGAGGUUCAUGUGUGUAUGUAAUCUUUGUUUAUUAUCCAUGUUUAUUUAGAGGCCAACUCGCUGAUUGAACUACAUGGAGUCCACUUGAGGCUAUGUUGCUUCCAAGUUCCACUUAAUCUUCCGGAUUGGUUGUUUCUUUUAAUCUAUCCUAUCAGGUUGUUAGGUUAUCCCUUUGAAAUUGUUAUGUAUAUUGUUUCAGCUUGAUCAUUUACUUUGUUCUGUACCCUUUUGUGUGGUAAUCAAUUGUACUUGUUAUACUAGUGUUUACUUGCAUUGCCUCUGUUGGUUUAUCAUGUGUCACAAUCUAUACUAAACAAAUAGUUUGGUGCAUUAUCUUGUUUAAAACUAUGUCGCAAAGGCAACAAGGCCAUUGUGCCUCUAUUAAUGCUUUUCUUACUUUUUUAAUAUUGUUUUUUUUAUCGUUCCCUAACUAGUUUAGUAUAAUUCUUUUCUUUUCAGUUAUUGGAGACAACACUUCUGAAGGAUG